GUUUUCUUGAUGCGACACAAUUUACAACAAGACACCCAAAUUAUAUUCAUUCAAAAAUAACAUUUAUUCACAUGACAAUACAAAGUUCCAACAAUCUAUUUUGGUUACAAAUAUCAAAACACAAGCAUAUCUAGAAAGCGCUAUGAGCAUAUAUUUUUUGAGUAACAUGGCUUCCAUGAAAAAAUGUCCUACUAGCUGAUUUUAGUCUGCAUCACCACCACUUCUCCAGGAAGUGCUACGGACCCAAGUAAUUCCUGCUAAAAAACUUCAAUCUCAAGUAACACGGACUAACCGCCAAACCUGCAUAGAAUCCAAAAACGUACAAAAUUAUAAUAAGUUAUAACAGCAAACUCCCAUAUGAAUCUAGAGUAAUAAUAUUAGUUUAUUUUCCAAGCUAUCAUCGGAGGGACACCACUACCAUAUUAGGGUACCAUAAAAACGUGGGCAACAGAAUAUAAAAAAGCAGGCUAUAUACAAUUUAGAAAGAAUGUUCUAUAAAUGUGAAAUUUUAUCAUCCAAACAUAGAAAGUUCAAGGUCAUGUUAAAAAAACUAGUUAGUCAUCAAUCUGUGCACCUCAAAACAACUAUUUCAUCAACCCAUGCACCUGACCGGGCUAGUUAUUUGAACAAAUAUUAGUGAACUUUAUUUUUACAAAAUAGUUGUAUAUAAACAAACUGCAUGAUUGACAAAUACUAAGAUUCAAUAAUAAGCUAUCAAGGUUUACUAUUUAAAACACUUAAACACAUAGCUUGUUUUAUUGCAAAUGAAUCUCAAAAUAGUUGUUUCGCCCUUUCACGAACACAUGGGGAAACCCGGCCGAUAAAAAAUAGAACACAUGGGUGUGAUAGGUUGCACGUCACUUCACAAAACCAGGUACAAAACUAAUAUAAAUAUAGGUACCAGAAAUACGUAGUACAAUGUGAUCAAUUAAGAAAAAAAUAAUUCUGAGCGAUAUCUACAUAGUAACUACAAUCUAGCAGUACUUUGAGUAACAAUAAUCUUCAAACGUACGAAAAGUAGUUGUGUAAAGCUAAUUUUUACCUGGCUUGCAACUUUAACAGCGAGCAGUAACAGAUAGAAUAGAUGCAAUUAAAGAGUACCAACACGCACCUCCUUUCUGAAAUAAAACUUACUACAGAAACAUAUAAAUUGCAUCAAACUAGCUGCUAUUCUACUUUUUCAUAUGAUCAAUAAUCAUGAUUCUUUGCAAGAAAUAAUGGGAAUUUCUCAACAAAUUAAUUCAACAAUAGUUACAGGACAUGGUGAAACAGAAGGCUAGUUAGUACUUGAUGGGUAACAAUAACAUAUCUUCACCGACAUUUAGUUUAGUUGUAGCCACAAAACUUGCAUGAUAAAAUAUUUGAGGACCAACGGCAUAACAAUAUUAGAUGAGAUCGGAGCCUUGAACAUGUAAAGAUUGGAAUGUUUGGAAGAAAUAAUCCUUAGAAAAAGGACAGAGAUGCAUCAUGCACUAAGUAAGCGCUCUCCCAAUGAACAGAUAUACCUCAUUAAUGUCAACAAUGCAUGGACUAUUUAAUAAAUGCAAAACACUAUGAGCUCACCUGGUCGGAUACUAUUCUAAAUCAUGACGUCCUACUUAACAAAAUGGCACAUGAAGCACCUCCAAGCUGAGUCCAUGGUUUUUUUUCCGUGUGGUUUCAUUAGACAUAUGCCAUAGUGAUAUGCUAUGGAUGGGAUAAUUGGAGGAAGAGACACGGUGCUUACCUUGCACCGGCAUGAUGCCGUUAUCCUUAAAGUAUCAAUAGGCUAGAAAAUUGGUUUGAACAUAUCAGCCUACUACAGAUAAACUGUUACAUAUAUACAUAAGAACUGGAACAAAAGAAGAUCAUCUCCAGUCCUGGACUUGAAAUUAUUUCGGUAUAGAUUUUGUAGCAAUUCCCCAGAGAAGAACAAUUUAGCACCUUAAAUUUGAAUGUAUACAUACAAAUCAGAAUCAUUUCCAAAUGUUUUUUUUACUUAACAUAAAUCUAGAAUCAAAUGAAACUUUGGGACAUAAGGAAAUAUUUCAGUACAAUUUCAGGAAGUACAUGGAGAGUAGUAGAUUACCACAUACACUUACAGUGCAUCUCUCUUACUUGAUUAUAUCAUCACAGAGAUUGCAUUAUUAUAAUAAUAUGUGCUCCAAGUACAGAAACAUCAUGGACAUAGUAGAGAACUCAGUCAACUACUCUUGUGUGGUAUUGAGGAUACCGAGACAAAAGAAAGAACUUGGCUAGUAGAGAACUUUCAGUCAACUCUUGUGUGGUACUGAGUAUACUGAGACAAAAUAAAAAACUGUAGGAAGAAAACUUUGGACCAGCUAAUACAGUUGUAAGCAUGGAACUAAAACUGACAUAACCAAUUAAGAAUGAUUGUUAUGAAGACAAUGAAGGAAAAAACAGCUAUAUGAGUGCUUGAGCUUGCACCGUAAACAACCAUGGAGCAGAAGAUCUAUCAAAAGACAAUCAAUUCGUCUUUGUAGAGGCUUAUGGCAUAGUUCAAAAAGAGCAUCAAACAAAAGCUAUAUAUCAUGAUGAGAUUACCAAAAUAGAAGUGUCAGUGAGUUAGUAUCCUAAAGAUUAUCCGUGGAAGGGUGCAGGUUGCACAUAUUGCAUAGUGGGUGAAUGUGAGAAAGCAGUGCUGCACUGCAUUAUCCUGGACCACCGUUGACCAUGGCGUUGCUGCAACUACCAAAAUUGCAUCUUCUCAAACAGGAGGCCAGAGGUGAAGCUCCCGGUGGAGCAGCGAUGUGGAAAGCAUACGGCGGUGCUAGUGGCAUGACUAAAACUGACUGGAGGCCGGAGGUGACAGCUCCCAGUGGAGCUGCGCCAUGGAAAGUAUACGACAGCGCUAGUGGAAACAAUAAGUACAGCAAGAUGGAAGAUGUACUCCCAUCCAUAAUAGGAAGUGAAAUGCAAAGUAACAAUUGCAGUGUACAUAAUUUCUGAAUUAAUUAGAGAUGGUUAAGAACCUGCAGUUUUAAUUCCCAUUAUUAGAUUUCUUGCACUGUCGUACUAACAACCAAUAUUUCAAUCUAGUGAAGUUUCAAGUUGCAGUAGUGGACAAAUCCCAUAGCGAACAUCCAACAAUGGAAUCCAAACAAAAGCCUAAAACUGUACCCCUAAAAUACAUCUGGAACUCAAGGAAAAGAAAGCCAUUUGACGAGCUGCACUCACCAUCUGAUGAAAUUGAUGCUGUUGAUGCCGUCGUCCAGCGUGAAGGGCACGUCGGUG
rnacentral:lncRNA from 1 species